UUAACCUUCUAUCUAUUACACUGUCCUGACACCUAUCUAUUACACUGUCCUGACACCUAUCUAUUACACUGUCCUCUGGCACCUGACACCUAUCUAUUACACUGUCCUGACACCUAUCUAUUACACUGUCCUGACACCUAUCUAUUACACUGUCCUGACACCUAUCUAUUACACUGUCCUCUGGCACCUGACACCUAUCUAUUACACUGUCCUGACACCUAUCUAUUACACUGUCCUCUGGCACCUGACACCUAUCUAUUACACUGUCCUGACACCUAUCUAUUACACUGUCCUGACACCUAUCUAUUACACUGUCCUGACACCUAUCUAUUACACUGUCCUGACACCUAUCUAUUACACUGUCCUGACACCUAUCUAUUACACUGUCCUGACACCUAUCUAUUACACUGUCCUCUGGCACCUGACACCUAUCUAUUACACUGUCCUGACACCUAUCUAUUACACUGUCCUGACACCUAUCUAUUACACUGUCCUGACACCUAUCUAUUACACUGUCCUCUGGCACCUGACACCUAUCUAUUACACUGUCCUCUGGCACCUGACACCUUCUAUCUAUUACACUGUCCUCUGGCACCUGACACCUAUCUAUUACACUGUCCUGACACCUAUCUAUUACACUGUCCUGACACCUAUCUAUUACACUGUCCUGACACCUAUCUAUUACACUGUCCUCUGGCACCUGACACCUAUCUAUUACACUGUCCUGACACCUAUCUAUUACACUGUCCUCUGGCACCUGACACCUAUCUAUUACACUGUCCUGACACCUAUCUAUUACACUGUCCUCUGGCACCUGACACCUAUCUAUUACACUGUCCUGACACCUAUCUAUUACACUGUCCUCUGGCACCUGACACCUAUCUAUUACACUGUCCUGACACCUAUCUAUUACACUGUCCUCUGGCACCUGACACCUAUCUAUUACACUGUUCUCUGGCACCUGACACCUUCUAUCUAUUACACUGUCCUGACACCUAUCUAUUACACUGUCCUCUGGCACCUGACACCUAUCUAUUACACUGUCCUGACACCUAUCUAUUACACUGUCCUCUGGCACCUGACACCUAUCUAUUACACUGUCCUGACACCUAUCUAUUACACUGUCCUGACACCUAUCUAUUACACUGUCCUCUGGCACCUGACACCUAUCUAUUACACUGUCCUCUGGCACCUGACACCUUCUAUCUAUUACACUGUCCUGACACCUAUCUAUUACACUGUCCUCUGGCACCUGACACCUAUCUAUUACACUGUCCUCUGGCACCUGACACCUUCUAUCUAUUACACUGUCCUCUGGCACCUGACACCUUCUAUCUAUUACACUGUCCUCUGGCACCUGACACCUAUCUAUUACACUGUCCUCUGGCACCUGACACCUUCUAUCUAUUACAUUGUCCUCUGGCACCUGACACCUAUCUAUUACACUGUCCUCUGGCACCUGACACCUUCUAUCUAUUACACUGUCCUCUGACACCUGACACCUAUCUAUUACACUGUCCUCUGGCACCUGACACCUUCUAUCUAUUACACUGUCCUCUGGCACCUGACACCUUCUAUCUAUUACACUGUCCUCUGACACCUGACACUCUAUCUAUUACACUGUCCUCUGGCACCUGA
rnacentral:lncRNA from 8 species